GUCAAUGCCCAUAUCACUCCGAACACACAGGAUCUCAUCUGGUCUUAGAAGCUAAGCAGAGUCAGGCUUGGUUAGCAGUUGUGUGGGAAGAGUGCAGACUUGGACU
rnacentral:rRNA from 1 species